AGAGAGAGAGAGAGAGAGAGACGAAACAAUUUGAGCAGCUAAAUAGCACUGUACAUAAAUUACAGCACAGGAAGUUUCUCCAGCUUUCCUUUUUCCCCCCACAGAUGUUGGAUCCUUAUGGAACCAACGGCAUUUGAUUAUUCCCACAGAGAAUAGUUUGUUUAUUGGAAAAUGUCAAUCCAUUUCAACCGGAGCGCUUAGAUAACCUGUCCACAAAAGCUGUGACCAAAACCAACCCCAUCCAAUUAUAUGUAGCAAAAGAAUGCUCUGAAGUAAAACCAAACCUACUUAAUGAUCGCAUGCACGAGGCAAUAGAUUGAAUAGCCUCUCACCGGUGAACUUUUUGUGAUCCAUGUCCAAACACCAUUAGCAACGGAGCAAUUAAAUAACGAUCAGAGUGGCUUAACUUGCCACUUUCAGGAAUUUGUGUUCUUCUUUUCUUCAAGAACAGAACCUUCCUUGAGUGCAAUUUGUGCCUCAUUUUCCCUUCCAAGUGCAAAGAGAGAAGCAGCUUGUAAAUACGAAGCAACAUGCCAUACAGGAGAUAUUACUUGUGCCUGUACUGCAUCAUUGAGGGCUUCCAGUGGCAUAUCAUUCAUGAGAUAAGACAGACUACGCCGUGCAUACACAGUUGGGGAGACCAUAGUUCCAACAUCGAUAAACAGUGUAUAGCAUUCGAUGGCGGCCUUAGCAUCUUUGUGCCUGAAAGCAGAAUCACCCUUUUUCU
rnacentral:misc_RNA from 1 species